GGCCUAUUGGUGUAGUGGUUAUCACGUCACUUUUACAAUGAACUAUUUAUUAGAUCAGUGAAGGUCCCAGGUUCGAAACCUGGAUGGGUCA